rnacentral:rRNA from 1 species
GGUGAACGCUGGCGGCGUGCCUAAUACAUGCAAGUCGAGCGAACGGACGAGAAGCUUGCUUCUCUGAUGUUAGCGGCGGACGGGUGAGUAACACGUGGAUAACCUACCUAUAAGACUGGGAUAACUUCGGGAAACCGGAGCUAAUACCGGAUAAUAUUUUGAACCGCAUGGUUCAAAAGUGAAAGGCGGUCUUGCUGUCACUUAUAGAUGGAUCCGCGCUGCAUUAGCUAGUUGGUAAGGUAACGGCUUACCAAGGCAACGAUGCAUAGCCGACCUGAGAGGGGGAUCGGCCACACUGGAACUGAGACACGGUCCAGACUCCUACGGGAGGCAGCAGUAGGGAAUCUUCCGCAAUGGGCGAAAGCCUGACGGAGCAACGCCGCGUGAGUGAUGAAGGUCUUCGGAUCGUAAAACUCUGUUAUUAGGGAAGAACAUAUGUGUAAGUAACUGUGCACAUCUUGACGGUACCUAAUCAGAAAGCCACGGCUAACUACGU